AUAUGUUUUCCAUUUUGCACAUGAUCCCUAAUAAAAUGAUAUCUUAUUUCUAUGUGUUUGGCUUUAGGAAUGAGAUAUUUAGGAUGUAAGCCAGAAGUGAUCUCUAAAUGUAGAUUCCAAAGAUAGUUUUGAAAUCAAGUGUAGAUGGAAUCUUUUUCAAGUUAUUUCAAGGAGUAUCAAGAAUAAUAUUCAAAGAAAGCACGAAUGAAAAUCCAAUACCCUUUUUUUUUAAUAUAUUAAGUAUAUAGCAACAUGAGAGCAAUCUAAUUAAUUUUUAGAGUAUAGUAUAAGAGCAGAUAAAGAUCAAAACUUAUAUACUCGA
rnacentral:lncRNA from 1 species